rnacentral:lncRNA from 1 species
AUGGCAUGGGGAGAGGGGCUUGGGGAGAUUUGUGGUGCAACCAGCAUAAGAGAUAGGAAGGUCGUCAUGGGGGUGGGGAGCCUCUUUUGGUAGAGGUGGGCACUUGGACUAAUGUGAUGGUUGAUUUUGAUUGUCAACCUUGGUUGGAUUUUAAGGGAAUUAGGAGAUGGUAUACUAAGGGAUAAGAAUCACUCUGAAUGUAAUUCACAAUCCCCAAAGCUUGACUCAAUAACAUAGGGAAAUGUUUUUCCUGAUUUCUUAGGGCAGGUGUUCUGAGGCCAUCUGUAGCUGAAAUAAAAGGGGGCCCAGAAACAUCCACACUAUGCUGGUUUUGCAGGCAUGCAAGUGUAAGAAAUAUGAGGUCAUGGGAGCCUAUAUAAGGUUCCAGAAGAAGCUAACAAGGCCAAGGAAUGUGUAGCAGGACUGGAGUGCCUGCAGGGAGGCCCUAAGGACACAGUGAAUGAAGCUGUGAUGGCAAACUCCAGCUUCAGUAGAAACCCCAGACGUUGCCAAGAAUGGAUCAUCUACUGAGGAAGCCGCAGACACCAAGUGGACCACGAAGGAUGCUGUGCAUGCUGCUGUCAGGUGAAUAAUCUCAAUCUCCGAAUAUGGGCUCUUCUGGCCUUCCUCUCCCUACACUUUCUCCAGCGCCUUUGGCCUCUACACAGUGACUAGCAAUGGAGAUGGAGAGGAAGAAGGUCCAGACGGCUGAGCACUGCAAAUGGUGACAGCAUGCAAGUGUGGAUUCUGUGCAUGCAUCUUUCAACUUUCCAGCAAGGCUGAAGCCAAUGGAACAGCUCAAACUACUUCUGCACUGCUCUCUCUGUAGGCCACAUUGACUAUCUGUAUUCAUUCCUUAUUUUCAAAA